CGGACCCGGAAGCCCUUCCUUUAGUCUUGGACAGAGGACCGCGAGCAGAGCAGGAGCCGGACUCUCCAACAGACGACAACUCUAACAUGACUUCUUUGUCAUUAAUCUUAAACACUGAAGCGUGCACUGAUGUCAUGCCACCAUUGCAAUCCAGAAAUUGCCAAAGAUUUGUCUUCACUCUAUGGACCUUAACGUGAUCAUGGUGCGUUCACAUGAGACACACAUGAUCUCUUCUCUGCAGGUUCAGAGAAGUUAUGCUGUCUUCACAUGAGAAGUAAACCUUUCUUCUCUAUGGCUAGAGAGGUCCUGCUGCUGUUACAUGAGAUGCACUAGAUGGAAACAUUUCUUCUCUGCUUCCCCAGGGAUCAGCAGCAGAAGUAGCUACAGUGGCAUGAAGUCCAGUUGUCCUUCAGCCUCAUCUAUGGUAUACCGGGUCUAAUGGACUAAAAUGAAGUCUAAUCUGAAUUGUUGGUGAACGCAGGAGACUUCAAUUCAGAAGGAAUCUCAGUAGUUUGAAAGAUUUGUGGUCAACGGUUGUUGUAAAAUGAUUUGUCAUAAAUUAAACAAAUGUAAGUAACACUUCUAUGGAGUUAAAUUGCAUGUAUUUGUGGCUUCUUUAACUAAACUUAUAUUUGCUGUAGAUACUUCUCAGGUCUUUGUCCACUUGUAUUGUAGACAAGUUUACCAAUAUUAAAAGGCAAGAAAAAUUAAUCAAGGGAUGGACUGUUA